UACAGAGGUCUCAAGCGUUGUUCGGAUUCAUUGGGCGUAAAGGGAGCGUAGGUGGCGGGGCAAGUCUGGUGUGAAAUCCCGGGGCUCAACCCUGGAACUGCACUGGAUACUGCCUUGCUGGAGUGCUGGAGAGGAGAUUGGAAUUUACGGUGUAGCAGUGAAAUGCGUAGAUAUCGUAAGGGAAGACCAGUGGCGAAGGCGAAUCUCUGGACAGCUACUGACACUGAGGCUCGAAGGCCAGGGGAGCAAACGGG
rnacentral:rRNA from 1 species